rnacentral:rRNA from 1 species
GUAGAGAUACAGCGGAGGUUAUCUGGGAUACAGGUGGUGCAUGGUUGUCGUCAGCUCGUGUCGUGAGAUGUUGGGUUAAGUCCCGCAACGAGCGCAACCCUUGUCCUUAGUUACCAUCAUUUAGUUGGGGACUCUAGAGAGACUGCCGGUGAUAAACCGGAGGAAGGUGGGGAUGACGUCAAAUCAUCAUGCCCCUUAUGGCCUGGGCUACAAACGUAAUACAAUGGCGUAUACAAAGGGAUGCGAAGUGGUGACAUGGAGCUAAACUCACAAAGUACGUCUCAGUUCGGAUUGAAGUCUGCAACUCGACUUCAUGAAGCUGGAAUCGCUAGUAAUCGCGGAUCAGCAUGCCGCGGUGAAUACGUUCUCGGGGUUU